rnacentral:rRNA from 1 species
GAGGGUCAUUGGAAACUGGGAGACUUGAUUGCUUAGAAGAAAGUGGAUUCCUUGUGUAGCGGUGAAAUGCGUAGAGAUAUGGAGGAACACCAGUGGCGAAGGCGACCCCCUGGUCUGUAACUGACACUGAGGCGCGAAAGCGUGGGGAGCAAACAGGAUUAAAUACCCUGGUAGUCCACGCCGUAAACGAUGAGUGCUAAGUGUUAGAGGGUUUCCGCCCUUUAGUGCUGAAGUUAACGCAUUAAGCACUCCGCCUGGGGAGUACGGCCGCAAGGCUGAAACUCAAAGGAAUUGACGGGGGCCCGCACAAGCGGUGGAGCAUGUGGUUUAAUUCGUUUUUUUUCGAAGAACCUUACCAGGUCUUGACAUCCUCUGACGAGCCUAGAGACACGGCUUCUCCUUCGGGAGCAGAGUGACAGGUGGUGCAUGGUUGUCGUCAGCUCGUGUCGUGAGAUGUUGGGUUAAGUCCCGCAAC